GGAGAGAUGCCCGAGAGGUUGAAGGGGCACGCCUGGAGAGCGUGUAGACCGCAAGGUCUCGUGGGUUCGAAUCCCACUCUCUCCGCCC
rnacentral:tRNA from 1 species